rnacentral:rRNA from 1 species
UACGUAGGGUGCAGGCGUUAAUCGGAAUUACUGGGCGUAAAGCGUGCGCAGGCGGCUUCUCGAGUCAGAUGUGAAAUCCCCGGGCUUAACCUGGGAACUGCGUUUGAAACUGGGAGGCUAGAGUGCGGCAGAGGGGGGUGGAAUUCCACGUGUAGCAGUGAAAUGCGUAGAUAUGUGGAGGAACACCGAUGGCGAAGGCAAUCCCCUGGGCCUGCACUGACGCUCAUGCACGAAAGCGUGGGGAGCAAACAGG